UGGGGAACUUUCCGCAAUGGGCGAAAGCCUGACGGAGCAAUACCGCGUGAGGGAGGAAGGCUUUUGGGUUGUAAACCUCUUUUCUUAGGGAAGAAGAGCUGACGGUACCUAAGGAAUCAGCAUCGGCUAACUCCGUGCCAGCAGCCGCGGUAAUACGUAGGGGGCGAGCGUUGUCCGGAAUUAUUGGGCGUAAAGAGCGUGUAGGCGGCCUGGUAAGUCUGCCGUGAAAACUCGGGGCUCAACCCUGAGCGUGCGGUGGAUACUGCCAGGCUAGAGGAUGGUAGAGGCGAGUGGAAUUCCCGGUGUAGCGGUGAAAUGCGCAGAUAUCGGGAGGAACACCAGUAGCGAAGGCGGCUCGCUGGGCCAUUCCUGACGCUGAGACGCGAAAGCGUGGGGAGCAAACAGGAUUAGAUACCCGCGUAGUCC
rnacentral:rRNA from 1 species